rfam:Mycobacterium phlei DSM 43239 = CCTG 21000 Contig10, whole genome shotgun sequence.
GUCGGGUUCGGGAUGAAGUGGUUGAUCUUCCCGCCGAACACCGCGUAGGUGCGCUUCCCGUCGGUGAGCAUCUGCACGCCGCGCUGGCGGAACUCCUU